GAUGAACGCUGGCGGCGUGCCUAAUACAUGCAAGUCGAGCGAACAGACGAGGAGCUUGCUCCUCUGACGUUAGCGGCGGACGGGUGAGUAACACGUGGAUAACCUACCUAUAAGACUGGGAUAACUUCGGGAAACCGGAGCUAAUACCGGAUAAUAUAUUGAACCGCAUGGUUCAAUAGUGAAAGACGGUUUUGCUGUCACGUAUAGAUGGAUCCGCGCCGCAUUAGCUAGUUGGUAAGGUAACGGCUUACCAAGGCAACGAUGCGUAGCCGACCUGAGAGGGUGAUCGGCCACACUGGAACUGAGACACGGUCCAGACUCCUACGGGAGGCAGCAGUAGGGAAUCUUCCGCAAUGGGCGAAAGCCUGACGGAGCAACGCCGCGUGAGUGAUGAAGGUCUUCGGAUCGUAAAACUCUGUUAUUAGGGAAGAACAAAUGUGUAAGUAACUAUGCACGUCUUGACGGUACCUAAUCAGAAAGCCACGGCUAACUACGU
rnacentral:rRNA from 1 species